GGGUGCGUAGCUCAGACGGUAGAGCGCUCGCUUAGCAUGCGAGUGGUAAGGGAAUUGAUACCCCGCGCCUCCA